rnacentral:misc_RNA from 1 species
UCAUUACAGUAUACCCUAAUUUCCUUGAACACUCUAUGAGUGUCUGCUCAAAUCGGGUAGUUCCUACUCGAGAGCAUCCGGCCGAUGGCUGUACAAGGUAGAGCGCAUCAGUUCUAUCAUUGCGGGCUUUUGCCCCCCUGCGGCCGAUGGCUGUACAASGUGGAGCACAUUCAGUUCUAUCAUUUUGCNGGCUUUUGCCCCCCUGCGGCCGAUGGCUGUACAAGAUGGACGCUUUAGUUCUAUCAGGGGGCUGUACCUGGUAUGUAUUGUAUCUACGUACAGUCGAUGUAACGGCAGGGUGCCUACCCGUCUGAAGCUCUUUCGGUGUGCUAAUGGUUUUCGAAUUGUUAGUCCAUACCUGGGGUGACGGGCUGUGCUGUCUUUCGGGCAGUGCUAGGCUUAAAGAGUGGUGGUGGCCACGGCUUAUCCUCCGCCCUGCUUGAAUCUGUUUCCCAUCAUUUUACACUGUUUAAGUGGUUCAUGCUUCGGUGUGGAUCAUUGACCCGACAUGCACCCAGCCUCGUGCUGGACUGUAUGUGCAGUCGCCUGGCGGUGCCUUAUCCCGGGCUGGACUUGCUAAUUAUACAUCGUGCAACUGGGUGACUGGUUGUGCGRGGUGA